GACGAACGCUGGCGGCGUGCCUAAUACAUGCAAGUCGAACGCAGUGGGGACGGGGGAGUAACACGUGGGUAACCUCCCAUACGAGGGGAGAACACUUGGAAACAGGUGCUAAACCGCUACUGAUGUAUGGACCCGCGGGGCAUUCGCUAGUUGGUGAGGUAACGGCUCACCAAGGCCACGAUGCAUAGCCGACCUGAGAGGGUGACCGGCCACACUGGGACUGAGACACGGCCCAGACUCCUACGGGAGGCAGCAGUAGGGAAUCUUCGGCAAUGGACGAAAGUCUGACCGAGCCACGCCGCGUGAGUGAAGAAGGUCUUCGGAUCGUAAAGCGCUGUUGUUAGAGAAGCGGUAUCUAACCAGAAAGCCACGGCUAACUACGUGCCAGCAGCCGCGGUAAUUC
rnacentral:rRNA from 1 species